UGGGGAAUAUUGGACAAUGGGGGCAACCCUGAUCCAGCCAUGCCGCGUGAGUGAUGAAGGCCUUCGGGUUGUAAAGCUCUUUUGGCGGGGACGAUGAUGACGGUACCCGCAGAAUAAGCCCCGGCUAACUUCGUGCCAGCAGCCGCGGUAAGACGAAGGGGGCUAGCGUUGUUCGGAAUUACUGGGCGUAAAGCGAGUGUAGGCGGUUACCGUAGUCAGGUGUGAAAGCCUUGAGCUCAACUCAAGAAAUGCACUUGAUACUGGGUGACUAGAGGACCGGAGAGGAUAGUGGAAUUCCCAGUGUAGUGGUGAAAUACGUAGAGAUUGGGAAGAACACCAGUGGCGAAGGCGGCUAUCUGGACGGUUACUGACGCUAAGACUCGAAAGCGUGGGGAGCAAACAGGAUUAGAUACCCUGGUAGUCCACGCCGUAAACGAUGGGUGCUAGACGUUGGCGAGCUUGCUCGUCAGUGUCGCAGCUAACGCGUUAAGCACCCCGCCUGGGGAGUACGGCCGCAAGGUUGAAACUCAAAAGGAAUUGACGGGGUCAUAGCUGUUUCCAG
rnacentral:rRNA from 1 species